GUGCUCAUUUCAGCAGCACAUAUACUAAAAUUGGAACGAUACAGAGAAGAUUAGCAUGGACCCUGUGCAAAGAUGACAUGCAAAUUCAUGAAGUGCUCCAUAUUUUU
ensembl:snRNA U6 U6 spliceosomal RNA